AAUAUACAACAGGGAGAAGAACCAACCGAGAACCUCUGAUGGUGUCACUGGGCAGAAACUAGAAGAGACAUUGCCUUCAUAUAAGGAGUCCUGAGUCCGAAUUCCCGAGGGUCACAGGAAUGUUUUCAAAAUCAAAGAGUUGCUCAGUGGCAGAACUGGUAGAAUACCAGCUCUUCAUCCUGUGAGCGACAGUCACAGAGGAGUCCUGAUGCCAGCUUGCCUACAUGCACUCCCUUAUGUUCCUUUUUAGAGGGUCUCUAAGUCACCCAAUCCAAGUUUCAAGGUCAUCUCCUCAUAGAGUUGAUUGCUGAAGAAGACUAUCCCAUCUUAGAACCCACCAUACAUCAUAUUCUAAAAUACUUCAGUCUGGAGAGAUUCUUUGCUGGGCCAUAUAUCUUCAAACAAAUGAUUCUGGACCUUUUAAUAUGAUGGUGGCUGGAUUACAAGAAACCACUAUCCCUUGAGGACCCUAUACUACCCCACCUCUUGGCUCUCAAGAUCGCCGUGGGCUAACCAAGAUCUCAAGCUUAGCUUUCUGUCUGAUGCAAUUUCAAGCUGCAGCUGACCCCUGUCUUCACUCUCCUCCUGCUGUUCAAUGUAGCUGUCCCAUGUAUUGCCUGCCCUUGGGGCUUAUCAAAGGGGAUCAACCAAUUCAUCAUCAAUAAUUUAACAGUGGCAUACUACCAUAGCAUGAGUUAACAAAGGGGAAUGACGGGCAGAGCAGUGUCUUGAUGCUAUUGCGAUGGGUGCUCUUGCUAAAGGAGAAAUUUUAUUAGGAAGAGAAGAGAGGAGUGAAUACAGACCAUGUGGAAUUGCCAUGAUGAAGAUGGAUGGAGGGAAGAGAAAAGCAUCAAAGAACAGCGUUCAUGAUAUUAGUGAUGAUGAUGAUAACUUAUUGAGCACUUUCUACAAAAAUCAUAGCUGACACUAUUGAACACUUAGUGUCAGAUAUUAUGUAAUAAACUUUACAUACUAAUGAGGUUAAACAUC
rnacentral:lncRNA from 1 species